UACGGAGGGUGCAAGCAUUGAUCGGAAUUACUGGGCGUAAAGGGCGCGUAGGCGGUUAGAUAAGUCAGAUGUGAAAUUCCGGGGCUCAACCCCGGAGCUGCAUUUGAAACUGUCUAGCUAGAGUUCAGUUAGGGUAAACGGAAUUCCACGUGUAGCGGUGGAAUGCGUAGAUAUGUGGAAGAACACCGGUGGUAAAGACGGUUUACUGGGCUGAUACUGACGCUGAGGCGCGAAAGCGUGGGGAGCAAACAGG
rnacentral:rRNA from 1 species